rnacentral:rRNA from 1 species
UACGUAGGGUGCGAGCGUUGUCCGGAAUUAUUGGGCGUAAAGGGCUCGUAGGCGGUUUGUCGCGUCGGGAGUGAAAACCCAGGGCUUAACCCUGGGCUGGCUUUCGAUACGGGCAGACUAGAGGUAUGCAGGGGAGAACGGAAUUCCUGGUGUAGCGGUGAAAUGCGCAGAUAUCAGGAGGAACACCGGUGGCGAAGGCGGUUCUCUGGCCCGGUUCUGACGCUGAGGCGCGAAAGCGUGGGGAGCAAACAGG